CAACACUGUGGUGCUGCAAUACGACAGAAUACAACAAUAUGCAAUUCUGUACCCAGUAAUAUUAAGAAAAUUUUGAUUCUUUUUUUCACAGUUAAGUGAACUAUUUUCCAGUUGGCCAAAACGUUGCAUUCUCUCAUCUUGGACCAGAGCUUGGCUCAAAAUAAAUAGAACGCUGGAAGAGGUACAAAUAAAUGACGCGCGCAGAAUGGGGCUCGAACUCCAGGCCUUACAGUCAAGCGCCGCUUUGCGCGCGUCUAUUUUUAUUUAAUUUAAAAUGUACAUUUCGUAUUUUAUAUGUAUUCUUUCCCGUGCGCUGGACUCUGUUCCGGCGGCACGUGUAUGUUUUGGGGGUUGUGCUUAAAUUUAGUUAUCUGUCUACACCGAAAGAUCAUCGACUUGUGUUUGUUUGUUUGUUUUUUGUUGGGGUUAAUGCGGCAAAUGUUACAAUCAUAUUUAAGGCGAAAUCCCCCUGUUUUCUUACUGUUGUAGCCAAUAAAAUAGGCUAAUAAAUAUCUAUACAUACAAUUUUUAGCUUAAGAAUGAAUAACUAAUCUGAACUGUCCCUUCUUCUUACCAUACAUCACCAUACAUCCAUUGCAACAUAGCAACAAAAAUCCUCGAAAAUACCUCGAAACUGUGAAACUGAAA